rnacentral:lncRNA from 1 species
AUAUUUCCUACCCUUAACUUCUAUUAUUCCUAGAAUUCCUUCUUUGAUUUUAGAGAACAUGAACUCAGUGUAUUGGACAUCUAACAGGCUGGGAGUUGUAAUAUUUCCCUUAUGUCAUCUGGAAGUCAUAAAUCAUCCAUAGAUCAAAAUGAUACAAGCCUCAGACUGCAAAUGACUACAGGGACGAAGAGUGAGGGUCCUCAUUGACCCGUGAGGCAUUGCUUGUGUGAAGGUUGACUGAUUCCUGCUUUUGGGAAAUAAAGAAUGACCAAGAAAAAAUAUGAUGAAAUAAGGCAAGAAGUUUAAUGUGGUGUAAAGAAGAAGGAAGAAAGGAACAGCAUAUUGACUGAUCUGCCACACAGGAACAGCUACGAAGGAAAGGAGAAAAAAGAGUAAAGGUAUAAAUGCUGGCACAUAAACAGAGUAAGAUUCUUCAGUGAAAUCAACUGAGCUUAACUGAUACAAUAAAGCGAUGUGGUGAAAGGAGAGAAUGGUUGAAUGAAUGGAGGGAAGAUAAGUGAGUAGGGUGGAGCAUUUCAUUUAGGAAUAAUUAAAGGAGGCAGAACGGAAGGAAUUCCCAG